rnacentral:rRNA from 1 species
UGGGGAAUAUUGGACAAUGGGCGAAAGCCUGAUCCAGCCAUGCCGCGUGUGUGAAGAAGGUCUUCGGAUUGUAAAGCACUUUAAGUUGGGAGGAAGGGCAGUAAGCGAAUACCUUGCUGUUUUGACGUUACCGACAGAAUAAGCACCGGCUAACUCUGUGCCAGCAGCCGCGGUAAUACAGAGGGUGCAAGCGUUAAUCGGAAUUACUGGCCGUAAAGCGCGCGUAGGUUGUUCGUUAAGUUGAAUGUGAAAGCCACGGGCUUAACCGGGGAACUGCAUCCAAAAAUGGCUGGCUAGAGUAGGGCGGGGAGUGGUGGAAUUUUCUGUGGAGCGGUGAAAUGCGUGGAUAUAGGAAGGAAAAACAGUGGCGAAGGCGACGACCGGGGCUAAUAAUGACACUGAGGUGCGAAAGAGUGGGGAGCAAACAGG